AAGUUUUAAUUUGGCUUAAAAAUUUAGUUUAUUAUUAAUUUUCAUGUAAAUUUUGUUUAAAUAAAUUAUUUUCAGUGAUUAGUAUUAGAUAUUUAAGUAAUUAAUAUUUAGUGAUUAAUAUUAGUUCUAACAAAAGUUGUGCCAGCAGUUGCGGUUAUACUAUUAGGGCAAUUUAAUUUUUUUGGUUUGUAGUUAAAGAUUUUUAUUAGAAUAUAAUUGAAAUUAUUAGGUGAAAUUUUUAUUUUGAUAUUUUUUAUUUUUUGAGGCUAUUAAUUUUUACUUUUAGACUAGGAUUAGAUACCCUAUUAUUUAAAAUGUAAAUUAUUUAACUGUAUUAGUAUUAGUUAUUAUCUUGAAAAUAAAAAAUUUUGGCGGUAUUUUAGUCUUUUCAGAGGAACCUGUCCUAUAAUUGAUAGCCCACGAUUAGUAUUACUUUAGUUUUGUUUGUAUAUCAUCGUAGUUGAGUAUUUUAUUAGAAUUAUUAAUAUUCAAAAUUCUUUUUAAGAAGAAAACCAGAUCAAGAUGCAGCUUUUAUUAAAGGAGAGAUGGGUUACAAUAAGUUUAUUUAAAUGGUUUUUAAAAUAAAAAUUUUUUAAUAAAGUGGAUUUGAAAGUAAUUAUUUUAAUUUUAUAGUAAUGAUUUAGCUCUAAAAUAUGCACAUAUCGCCCGUCGCUUUCAUUAAAGUGAAAUAAGUCGUAACAAAGUAGGCUUACUGGAAAGUGUGCCUAGAAUGGU
rnacentral:ncRNA from 1 species